rnacentral:rRNA from 1 species
ACACGUGGGUAACCUGCCUUAUAGUGGGGGAUAGCCUUUCGAAAGGAAGAUUAAUACCGCAUAAGAUUGUAGUAUCGCAUGAUAUAGCAAUUAAAGGAGCAAUUCGCUAUAAGAUGGACCCGCGUCGCAUUAGCUAGUAGGUGAGGUAAUGGCUCACCAAGGCGACGAUGCGUAGCCGACCUGAGAGGGUGAACGGCCACAUUGGGACUGAGACACGGCCCAGACUCCUACGGGAGGCAGCAUG